CUAUGGGAUUCCCAAAUCUGCAGAGUCAGCAAAUCCGUUUGUGCUCAGAGAUACUCAUUUAGGUUUCGGCUGACAGCUGUGAAGGAGGCUCUCUAACCCGCAGAAUGAAACAACAGACCCCUGCACGGGUGAAAGGGAAAGACACCCCAGGGGCAACUUGUGAGGCCAGCUCAACUGCGAGGGGGCUGUCUUGGCCAUCUUGCACCUCCUUGUUCCUUGCGGGAACCUGGCACACAUCUCCAUGCUAUCUAUGCACAGUCCCCGUCAUCCACAAGGAGGCUUGUUGUGCCCUCUCCUUCACUUUGCAGAUCUGUGUGGAGCUGCUAGACAGAGCACUUUACUGAGAAAAAUCAAGCGUUUACCCUGCAGAGCCAGCACCGCUAUGGGAGACUAAGCUGGAGUCUAUCCUGAUUCACCCAUCAUCAACAAAAUUGUCAGCUAAGAUCCAGCUGCAGGAUUUUCUUCACUGGUGAUGUCGUCAGAGGCAGAAAGAGUACACUGAUUGUUAGAUGCCAGAUGGAGUCUGUGCAGUCAGAAGCAACAUUCCUUCCUGGUAAAUGGAGCAAAUUGCCUAUGGAGGUCACUCAGAGAGAACAAACAUGAACCUGCACAAUGCCUUUUCAUGGUCAUUUUCUUGACUGCAACCUGGCCGAAAGCAUCGUGUCUAUACGCAGACACAGUGUGUCAGGACACAGUACCCCACUAAAUCCUGGAUUAAAAUCCUGCCUAAAUUGUGACUCUGGACUUCAACCUCAACUGAAACAGUUUCAGGCCACAUUCAGUACAAUGGCAAGACCUAGAUGCCCCUUCCUUCUCCUACGCCCACAUACAUCAUUCAUCACUCCACUGAAGGUCAGGGUAAAUGUACCCCAAAUGGAAGCCUUGCAGUCUGCUGCUAGAGCUAAUUUCACAGAGAACCUAUUCUCAGCGCAGAAUACCUUUUAGUCUCUUUGACGCCAUCACCUCCACAUCCAGACAUUUCAAUGCUGACCUGUAACAAGGGCAGAUGACGCUGCUGUUUCAUCUGGGUUCUGAGAAUGGACUAUACAGAGCUCAGUCAUUAGCCCACCUGAGAACAAGGGCACUUGAGUGGAUUUUUGUUUCCCCAGCUUCUAAGAAACAGGCAGAGAGAAGGGAGCUAAUAUUAGCUGUUCCAGGAAUACCUAUGUAGCGAUAAAGAGAACAAGGGUGACAGACUAGACACUGGCUAAAGCAACAUUGUAAAGAGGCUUUAUGCCUCUUGCCAGGUUGUUAUUAUCCCCGACUGCCUUUGCCCUUUGUUCUCACUUGAUAUAAGCCUGGAUAACCCACCUGGGUCAACACUUUGACAUCUCUAGGCAAAAGCAGAUAUGACUAAAUACACAGCAGCUAAUGCUAGCAGCACGAAGGUCUGCACAAACACGCCAGAGCGGUAAGGAAGGGAGAGCUGGCAGACACUGUACUGAGAAUGAGUAGAUGGCAGGGCAGCUCGUGUGCUCUGGCUAAAGUAUUGAAAGAGCAUCCAUUGCUGGAGAAUCCAGAUAAUAAAUGACAAGGUCAAAUGUACUUAACGUUUCUAUAGCACCCGUCACUGGGGGAUCCCAAAGCACUUUGCAGAGCUGAGUACGUGCUUUUCCGAUUCCCCGUUUCUGAGAUGCAGCAACUAGACACAGAAGACCUUGGCUGUGAUCACGCAGAAAGUCAAUGCCAGAACUGGGAAC